rnacentral:rRNA from 1 species
AUGCCGCGGUGAAUCCGUUCCCGGGCCUUGUACACACCGCCCGUCACACCACGAGAGUCGGCAACACCCGAAGUCGGUGAGGUAACCGUUAUGGAGCCAGCCACCGAAGGUGGGGUUGAUGAUUGGGGUGAAGUCGUAACAAGGUAGCCGUAUCGGAAGGUGCGGCUGGAUCACCUCCUUUCU